AUUGAACGCUGGCGGCAUGCUUUACACAUGCAAGUCGAACGGCAGCGCGGGCUUCGGCCUGGCGGCGCGUGGCGAACGGGUGAGUAAUGCAUCGGAACGUGCCCAGUAGUGGGGGAUAGCCCGGCGAAAGCCGGAUUAAUACCGCAUCCGACCUGAUGGUGAAAGCGGGGGACCGAAAGGCCUCGCGCUAUUGGAGCGGCCGAUGUCGGAUUAGCUAGUUGGUGGGGUAAAGGCUUACCAAGGCGACGAUCCGUAGCUGGUCUGAGAGGACGACCGGCCACACUGGGACUGAGACACGGCCCAGACUCCUACGGGAGGCAGCAGUAGGGAAUUUUGGACAAUGGGGGCAACCCUGAUCCAGCCAUGCCGCGUGCGGGAAGAAGGCCUUCGGGUUGUAAACCGCUUUUGUUCGGGAAGAAAUCCUCUGGGCUAAUACCCCGGGGGGAUGACGGUACCGGAAGAAUAAGCACCGGCUAACUACGUG
rnacentral:rRNA from 1 species